UGGGUUGGUUUAGUCCAGAAUCACCCCUCAUAUGACUCCUACCAAUGCACUCAGUACCUUUAGUUGGGUCUCAGGUUCCUUCAUACCAGCAAUUCAGGUUCCCGAUGGACUAAUUAACCAGAUGCUAUAAAUCCUCAAUUAAUCCAGUGUGUUUCAGAAACCAGGAGUAAAACGACAUGCACUCCUAUGACUCUUUGAUGACACCGAGUUUCAGAACAAUAAAACAAGUUUAUUCAAAAUUCCAGAAACAGGCAUUAAAAAUCACAGAUCAAUCAAUCAAUCAUAAAUCAAUAUCCCCAAUCGAUGAUAAGCAAAAAUAUAACUUGGAUUAAAUUGAGAGAUGCCUUCAGCGCCCAUAACUAAACCCUUAUCUAAACCCUUAUUAGUGUGUGUCAAUAAAAUAUGUUUGGUCUAUAACAAUUUUAUGAGAAGCACAGUGUUCAAUAACAAGAAAAACAAGUUCUUACCUUCUACAAAUUAUAAACAGAUUUUUGUCUCCCCCUUCAGGUUUCUCAGUCCCUCAGUUGGUGUCUAAAAAACUAACAGCUACUAGAACACUCCUAUCAGUGAGGUAACCUUUAGGGUUCCUCCUAGAAUGUACUAGAACAUUCCUAUCAAUGAGGUAACCUUUAGGGUUCCUCCUAGAAUGUACUAGAACACUUCUAUCAAUGAGGUAACCUUUAGGGUUCCUCCUAGAAUGUACUAGAACACUCCUAUCAGUGAGGUAACCUUCAGGGUUCCUCCUAGAAUGUACUAGAACACUCCUAUCAGUGAGGUAACCUUUAGGGUUCCUCCUAGAAUGUACUAGAACACUCCUAUCAAUGAGGUAACCUUCAGGGUUCCUCCUAGAAUGUACUAGAACACUCCUAUCAGUGAGGUAACCUUCAGGGUUCCUCCUAAAAUGUACUAGAACACUUCUAUCAAUGAGGUAACCUUCAGGGUUCCUCCUAAAAUGUACUAGAACACUCCUAUCAAUGAGGUAACCUUUAGGGUUCCUCCUAGAAUGUACUAGAACACUCCUAUCAAUGAGGUAACAUUCAGGGUUCCUCCUAGAAUGUACUAGAACACUUUCAGAAUAAAAAACCAAGUAUAUUAAAAAUCUAAAUGAAUCUGAAGUUAAAAAGCUUCAGUAAAAGUCUUUCUCCAGCAGACGACAGGUUCUUCUAGCAAACUCAAAGAGAGUCAUUCCCUUCCCAUGAAACCUGCUUCCUUUAUACCCUUAAUGCCUCUUCUGAUAAAUCAUCAGGAUGACCACCUGCUCCACUGAUGCCUUCGGUGGUUAACACCUAAUGAAUGCAUCCAUCUUCUCAAAAGGUGCUUUUUCAGCCCCCACUAACCUCCACGUUUUCCCACCUAGGCAGAACGUACGCUUCAACCUACUUGCUGCUCUGACCUGGGGAUUUCCAGAUCAAGCUAGCACCCUUAAUAUACUUCAUGAACAUCAACUUCUUAAAACAUACAUUUUUCAAACAUGAAACUUUCCUAUUCCCUUCACCCUCCUACCUUUAACUAAAUUAUAGUCUUUCUACAACCUAAUUUAUUACUCAAGUUAUAUCUCAAUACAUCAAUAUUUUAAACAUUUCAACAUUAUAACAUUUUACCAUUAUAACGUCUCAUUAUCAACCUCCUAAGGCCUUGUCCUCUAAGCCUAAUCAAACACAGUCUAUAUGAUUCACACCUUAAGGAAAACAACAUUAUAUCUCCCAAUGUUUAAUAACCUGUCUACAGGAAAGAACCUCAGUCUACCUUUGUACAUUACCAAACAGGAAAGAACCUCAGUCUACCUCUGUACAUUACCAAACAGGAAAGAACCUCAGUCUACCUCUGUACAUUACCAAACAGGAAAGAACCUCAGUCUACCUCUGUACAUUACCAAA
rnacentral:lncRNA from 1 species